rnacentral:rRNA from 1 species
GACGAACCGAGCGAACGUUGUUCGGAAUCACUGGGCUUAAAGGGCGCGUAGGCGGGCAUUCAAGUCUGUGGUGAAAUCCUCCAGCUCAACUGGAGAACUGCCAUGGAUACUGGGUGUCUCGAGGGUGGUAGGGGUAUGCGGAACUAUCGGUGGAGCGGUGAAAUGCGUUGAUAUCGAUAGGAACUCCGGUGGCGAAGGCGGCAUACUGGACCACUUCUGACGCGGAGGAGCGAAAGCCAGGGGAGCGAACGGG